rnacentral:tRNA from 1 species
UGCCGAGGUAGGAAAGCGGUCAACUCCGGGGGAUUCAAGAUCCUCUCCCUAGCGGUUCGCAGGUUCGAAUCCUGCCCUCGGCAUCC